rnacentral:rRNA from 1 species
AGGUGAAAUUCGCUAGUUAUUAGUAAGUUUGAUUUUAUAUUAGAGAUUUUGAUUCUUUAAAGUCUGGGGGAUAAAAUAGGAUUAGAUACCCUAUUAUACUUGGUUGUAAUAAUUAAGAUCUUUGAGUAGUAAACAGUUAUAGACUCGAAACUCAAAGGAUUUGGCGGUAUCUAAGUCCAGUUAGAGGAACUUGUGCAGUAAACGAUAGUCCGCGAGUAUCUGGCCUUACUUUGUAAUUAUCAGUUUGUAUACCGCCAUUAUUAGGUAAUCCUUGUAGGGAUUUACUAUAAUAAAGUUAAGUUUAGUAUAUUAGGUCAAGGUGCAGCUAAUAGUAAGGAUGAUGUGAGUUACAUUGGUAUAAGUAUUAUACGGAUGGGCCAUGGGAGGAUUAAAUGGCUUUGAAGGUGGAUUUAAUUGUAAGGUAUGUGGAUGAUGCAUGUUUGGUAAAGGCUCUUAGAUAUGUA